rnacentral:lncRNA from 1 species
GUUACAUUGUCAUGGCAAAACAAAUUCAACUGAACUAAAAUGAUUAUACUAAAGUAAUCAUAUAUACAAAAUAUAAAAUGCAACCUAAAUGCACAACAAACCCCCAAACCUAAGGGAUGCAUUGUCCUCAAUGCAUGACUAAAUAUAUAAGAGAAAAACAAAAAGAAAAAAAAUUAACAAAUGCUAUAGUAAAAGAAAUUAAAUGCAAGAUGCAUGAAAGAGAGAAAAACUUAACUGGCUUGGACAAGCCUGUAGAUACUUCAUUCUGCCCGACAAGUGGAUUUUCAAGCACUAACCUUGUAUCGACAUUUCUUCUUUUUAAAGGUCAUUUCUUCC